UGCAGAAUCCCGUGAAUCAUCGAGUUUUUGAACGCAAGUUGCGCCCGAUGUCAUUCGGCAAAGGGCACGCCUGCCUGGGCGUC
rnacentral:rRNA from 1 species